UUGAGAUUGAACCAGAAUAUUAAGCAACAAGUUGACAUUCGCUACUAGCUGGGUUAUAGUAGUUGGACUCUUGAUAUGCUAUGGCAUAGUGUUGGACAUUUGGGCUUAGAGUAUACUUGACAGUAUCGCUUAUUACAUUGUAGUAUUCUUGGUUGCUAUGAUAGUACAUACUAGAUAUGUAGUGGACUUUGGGACAUAUAGCAUACUUCAUAGCAUUACUUGUUGCAUCAGAACAUAUUGUUUAAGUUUUGACAUAUUGGAUCAUGUAGAGUAGAUGUACUCCAUGUUGACAUUCAGAAUAUUUGUGGCAUAAUAGUAUAGCAUUUCAAUAUAUGCCUUUAUUUUCCGCAAUCGUUAUUUCGUUAUCUAUAUCUGCUUGUUUUGGGCCUAGUGGUGCAAUUUGGUGCAGGUCAGUAAUUGCCCACUGGGAACUAUAAUUCAUAGUUCUCAAGCCCCCUAUUUUAUGUUUUCUUUCAGAGCCUUCCACUCCGGGACAGGCUCGGGAUCGCGGGAAAGGUUUCGCCUUGAGUUAGCUAUCGAGGGACUUGGUGAUAGGUGGCCCACCUCUCUUUUGUUUUCU
rnacentral:lncRNA from 1 species